rnacentral:tRNA from 1 species
GUGGGUGUAGAUCAAUGGUAGAUCGCCUGACUAUGGAUCAGGUUGUUGCGGGUUCGAGUCCCGUCACCUACC